rnacentral:rRNA from 1 species
UGGUCAAAUGUGAUGUAUCUAGUAGUAUUAGUGAUUAAUAUUAUAUUAACUAAGUUAAUUAAAAUUCGAUGUAGAUAUCUGAUUAUGACAGUAUUUGCUUAUGUCUUGACCAAUUCACGUGCCAGCAGUCGCGGUAAGACGUGUAAGAUAAGUGUUAUUCAUGUUUAACAGGUUUAAAGGGUACCUAGACGGUUAAUCAAACACUGUAAUGUAUUAAUUAACUAGAGUUUGAUAUAAGAAGGAUUGAGUACGGUGAGUGAAGAGAUAAAAUUCUAUUAGACCACUCUGGAACUGGUAAAGGCGAAGGCAACCUUCUAUGUAAAAACUGACGUUAAGGGACGAAGGCUCGUUAAAAAAAACAGGAUUAGAUACCCUGGUAUUUUGGGCAGACAAUGAUGAGUGUCAUAUGCAAGAUGAAUAAUUUUUUGUGUAUAAAUGAAAGUGUAAGCACUCCACCUUAAGAGUAACAUGGCAACAUGGGAACUGAAAUCAUUAGACCGUUUCUGAAACUCGUAGUGAAGUAUGUUGUUUAAUUUGAUAAUCCACAAAUAACCYUACCACAACUUGUAUAACUUUAGCUAAAAGUUACAAGCGUUGCACGGCUGUCUUCAKUCAAUGUUGUGAAACUGUGGUUAGAUCCAUUAAAUUGACGU